rnacentral:rRNA from 1 species
AACGAACGCUGGCGGCAUGCCUAACACAUGCAAGUCGAACGAGACCUUCGGGUCUAGUGGCGCACGGGUGCGUAACGCGUGGGAACCUGCCCUUAGGUUCGGAAUAACUCCCCGAAAGGGGUGCUAAUACCGGAUAAUGUCUGCUGACCAAAGAUUUAUCGCCUUUGGAUGGGCCCGCGUUGGAUUAGCUAGUUGGUAGUGUAAAAGCCUACCAAGGCGACGAUCCAUAGCUGGUCUGAGAGGAUGAUCAGCCACACUGGGACUGAGACACGGCCCAGACUCCUACGGGAGGCAGCAGUGGGGAAUAUUGGACAAUGGGCGAAAGCCUGAUCCAGCAAUGCCGCGUGAGUGAUGAAGGCCUUAGGGUUGUAAAGCUCUUUUACCCGGGAUGAUAAUGACAGUACCGGGAGAAUAAGCUCCGGCUAACUCCGUG